rnacentral:rRNA from 1 species
AGGGAGCGUAGGCGGCUGAUUAAGUCAGCGGUGAAAGGUAGCAGCUUAACUGUUUUACAUGCCGUUGAUACUGGUUAGCUUGAGUUGACAGAAGGCAGAUAGAAUUCCUGGUGUAGCGGUGAAAUGCUUAGAUACCAGGAGGAAUACCGAUUGCGAAGGCAGUCUGCUGCAGUCACACUGACGCUGAGGCUCGAAGGUGCGGGGAUCAAACAGGAGUUAGAUACCCUAGU